rnacentral:lncRNA from 1 species
GGAAAACAAAACAAAAACGGUCAGUGAAGGUCUUAAGGGCCUCCCGGCGCAAAAAUUCCCAAUAUCAUGUGCAGGGACAACUCAUAAAAACACAGCUCCGAUCUCACGCGAAAGAUGAGUCCUAAGCUACCAAUGAAAAACCAGAUUUCGACCUCCCGAAGGAGCUCGGGGCACAAUAGCCAAGAGCGCCACAGCCCCAUGCCGACCUCAAAAAAUGAGCUCGGUACUACAUCCACCUCGCG